rnacentral:rRNA from 1 species
CCUACGGGAGGCAGCAGUGGGGAAUAUUGCACAAUGGGGGGAACCCUGAUGCAGCAAUGCCGCGUGGGUGAAGAAGCACUCCGGUGCGUAAAGCCCUGUCAGCAGGGAAGAAAAUGACAGUACCUGGACGAUACGACCCGGCUAACCCCGUGCCAGCAGCCGCGGUCAAACGAAGGGGGCAAACGUUAGCCGGAUUUACUGGGGGUAAAGGGAGCGGAGGCGGGGUGGCAAGUCAGAUGUGAAAACCCGGGGCCCAACCCCGGGAGUGCAUUUGAAACUGCCAUGCUGGAGUGAGGGAGAGGUAAGCGGAAUUCCUAGUGUAGCGGUGAAAUGCGUAGAUAUUAGGAGGAACACCAGUGGCGGAGGCAGCUUACUGGACGGUAACUGACGCUGAGGCUCGAAAGCGUGGGGAGCAAACAGGAUUAGAUACCCCUGUAGUC